rnacentral:rRNA from 1 species
GCUUGCUCUCGGGUGACGAGUGGCGGACGGGUGAGUAAUGUCUGGGAAACUGCCUGAUGGAGGGGGAUAACUACUGGAAACGGUAGCUAAUACCGCAUAACGUCGCAAGACCAAAGAGGGGGACCUUCGGGCCUCUUGCCAUCAGAUGUGCCCAGAUGGGAUUAGCUAGUAGGUGGGGUAAUGGCUCACCUAGGCGACGAUCCCUAGCUGGUCUGAGAGGAUGACCAGCCACACUGGAACUGAGACACGGUCCAGACUCCUACGGGAGGCAGCAGUGGGGAAUAUUGCACAAUGGGCGCAAGCCUGAUGCAGCCAUGCCGCGUGUAUGAAGAAGGCCUUCGGGUUGUAAAGUACUUUCAGCGGGGAGGAAGGUGUUGCGGUUAAUAACCGCAGCAAUUGACGUUACCCGCAGAAGAAGCACCGGCUAACUCCGUGCCAGCAGCCGCGGUAAUACGGAGGGUGCAAGCGUUAAUCGGAAUUACUGGGCGUAAAGCGCACGCAGGCGGUCUGUCAAGUCGGAUGUGAAAUCCCCGGGCUCAACCUGGGAACUGCAUUCGAAACUGGCAUGCUAGAGUCUUGUAGAGGGGGGUAGAAUUCCAGGUGUAGCGGUGAAAUGCCUACAGAUCUGGAGGAAUACCCGUGGC